GUGGCCUGAAAUAAGCAGUAAGUAUAAUUAGAAAUCCUAGGGCGUCUUUAAUGGUGUAGUAGGGAUGGAAUGGGAUUAGGUCAGGGUCUGAUGGAAUGCCUGUGGGGUUGUUGGAUCCGGUUUCGUGUAGGAAUAGGAGAUGUACUAUUACUAGGGCUGCUACUAGGAAUGGAAGUAGGAAGGGGGUUUAGUCAUUGUUGUAUUAGGAGAAAGUUUAAUGAGCCUGUGAUGUUUUGUACGUAUACUAAGGCAAUUAGUAGGGGGAGUGAUCCUACUAAUGUAUAGAAUAGGAAGUAAAGGCCCGCAUUUAGGCGUUCUGCUUGGUUUCCUCAUCGUGUGAUAAUGAUUAGGGUUGGGAGUAGGGUGGCUUCAAAUAGGAUGUAGAAUAUGAUAAGUUCUGUGGCGGUGAAAGUUAUAAUUAGGAAUGUUUGAAGUGAGAUUAAUAUAGUAAGAUAGAGUUUUUUUCGGGGUGGAGUUUCGUUAGAUAAGUGGAAUUGACUGGCGAUAAUUAUUAAGGGCAGUAGCCAUAUUGUUAGUAUGAGUAGUGGGGUGGAUAGGGCGUCAGAAAAGAAUAUUGUGGAUAGAUUGAGACUGUUGUCGGCGAAUUGGUUUAUAAGAGGAAGUCAUAGGAUGCUGAUUAUCAGACUGUGGAUUGUAGUAUUGAUUCAGAUUAUUUUUGGUUUGGAGAAUCAGGUAAGGGGAAUGAGCAUAAUGGUGGGUAUAAUAAUUUUUAACAUUUGAGGAGGUUAAGGUUUUGGACAUAGUCUAUUCCAUAAGUAGUAGAUACUAUAACUAAGAGGGAGAGGCCUAGUGCUGCCUCACAGGCUGCAAAUACUAGUAAGAUAAUAGGUAGUAUGGUUGCUAGUGUGAGAUGGGUAUUUAGAAUGAUGAUAGUCAUUAUUACAAAUAGGGAAAGUAUUAUUCCUUCUAGGCAUAGGAGGGAAGAUAUCAUGUGGGAUCGGUACAUUAGUAAACCUAAUAGGGAGAUUGUGAAUGCUAAAAGUAUAUUUAUGCAGCUGAUGGACAUUAGAUAACUAUGAGGUUUAUCAUAAUCUAGUGAGUCGAAAUCACUUGUUUUGUUUAAACUAAUUAUCAUUAUUCGGAUCAUUCUAGUCCUUCUUGUAGUCAUUCGUAUGCUAGGCUAGCAGCUAAGAGGGAGAUUAGAAUCAGGGCUAUAGGAAGUAUAGUUUGUAAGUUAUUAGUUUGGGAUGCUCAUGGUAGGGGUAGGAGAAGGGCAAUUUCUAGGUCAAAUAGCAGGAAUGUAAUUGCUACAAGGAAAAAUUUUAUUGAAAAGGGGAGACGGGCAGAGCCUAGGGGAUCGAAACCGCAUUCAUAGGGGCUUGUUUUUUCUGCGUAAGGGCUGGUUUGGGGGAGUCAGAAUGCAAUAAUUACGAGAAUUGAGGCUAGUGCUGUGUUUGUUAAGAGGGUGAUGGCUAUGUUGAUUACUCUUUUCCGGAUUGUGCCGGAACUAACUGAUUGGAAGUCAGUUGUACUGAUUAAUACUAAAAGGGUAAGAGCCUCAUCAAUAGAUAGAUACGUAUAGGAAAAGUCAGACGACGUCUACAAAGUGUCAGUAUCAGGCGGCAGCCUCAAAUCCAAAGUGGUGGUUAGAUGUGAAGUGGAAUUUUAGUUGUCGUAGGAGACAUACGAUUAGGAAGGUAGAUCCGAUAAUAACA